AGAUCGCUGGCGGCGUGCUUACACACUGCAGUCUGAACGAACUUCGGGUUAGUGGCGGACGGGUGAGUAACGCGUGAGAAUCUGCCCUCAGGAGGGGGACAACAGUUGGAAACGACUGCUAAUACCCCAUAUGCCGCGAGGUGAAAUGAAUUUCGCCUGAGGAUGAGCUCGCGUCUGAUUAGCUAGUUGGUGUAGGUAAUGGCUCACCAAGGCAUCGAUCAGUAGCUGGUCUGAGAGGAUGAUCAGCACACACUGGGACUGAGACACGGCCCAGAACUCCUACGGGAGGCAGCAGUGGGGAAUUUUCCGCAAUGGGCGAAAGCCUGACGGAGCAACGCCGCGUGAGGGAUGAAGGCCUCUGGGCUGUAAACCUCUUUUAUCAAGGAAGAAGAUCUGACGGUACUUGAUGAAUAAGCCACGGCUAAUUCCGUGCCAGCAGCCGCGGUAAUACGGGAGUGGACAAGCGUUAUACCGGAAUUAUUGGGCGUAAAGCGUCCGCAGGCGGACCCUUCAAGUCUGCUGUUAAAAAGUGGAGCUUAACUCCAUCAUGGCAGUGGAAACUGUUGGGCUUGAGUGUGGUAGGGCAGAGGGAAUUCCCGGUGUACGGUGAAAUGCGUAGAUAUCGGGAAGAACACCA
rnacentral:rRNA from 1 species